GGCCUGGGAAAUUAUCCACAUAUUUAUUUUAUUUAUUUUUCAUUGAGAAUGUAGGUUGUGUACCAAGGAAGCAAUCCUUAUACUGGGAGGUUAUGUAAAUCUGUUAUUUAAAUCUGAUCAUAUUUUAUUUCUUUAAGCAUAGUACUCCAAAUGAGCCAUCUGCUUUUGUGCUUUCCUGUACCAAAGCCUAAAAUUGGAACAAUUUAAAUAUUUUGAACACAAUCUGUCUAGAAGUUAUCUGGCACGAGCACCACUGAAAGGAAUAAGCAAGAGCUUAUUUCAGUGGUCAUUGCAUAGGAUUUCUGCUGGAUUGUGCCCUUUAGCAUUGUGUCAACCUCUGAGCUGGUCAUUUAUUAUAUUGUUGCUGCAGUCAUUCUUAUAUACUAAACAAUGAACGUAUAGGCACAGAGCUGGCAUACUUCUCUAAGGUGUGUACUGAAUAUACACUUUAAAAAAUCUAAGUAGUAAUGGCUCAGGUUUUGUGGUACAUUUGUGUGUGCAUGUGUGUUUAUACAAGACACCAAAGGGUUAUCCCAUUCCAACUUCAUAACUAUUUCUUAUGCUCUCUAGUGUUUCAAUAAAAGUGGGAAAAUAAAAGAAACAAUAGUGUUUUCAGACCAAUUAUUUUCUUAUGCUUGCUGAAAUUAAUUCUAAUAAAAGUAAAGCAUUUGUAGGAGGAAACAUUCCUUAGGAUAAUUUUAACUGUGUUGGAAGACUCUAGGAUUUUGGGUAGGGGAGGUGAGGGUUGUACAUAUCAGAAGUCAGAAGAUGAUAGCCAUCCAUUUUAAGUAUCCUUCAACCCAUUCCGCAGUUCUUCAUCAUCACUUGCGAAUUUGUGUUAGUAUGCUAUUAAAAAAAAAAGUUGAAGGCUCUUUACAAUGUACAAAUGCACAAUGUCUGCCAUCCCCUUCUGCAGCUGUUAUGCGAUUUAGGAGUGGAGAGAAUAGUAGGGCAUUGAGGAGAGUUCUUUGCUACCCUCUAACUCUUCUAUGCAACAGCCUGGACAGCAACAGAGAAAAGGGUUAAGUUUUCCAUGCUCCUCCCCCUGCAUUGCCCAUUGGUGCCAUCCCAUAACCAUCUAUACUUGUGUGCUGCAGUGCUGAACUAUUGAGAAAAUUAAGAAUUUACCCCCCACCCCAUUUGUGUCCCUGGUAUGCAGAUUCCUGACCCUUGUAAUGACUUUCCAUUCACUUCAAUGGAAGGGGCAGAGCCAGGAACGUUCUGUAAGCAAGCAUGAUGGGGAGCUUUCUGUUUUGUGCCUCUGUGCUUCGGAAUACAAAUGGGCUUUUCAACGUGGGUUUUGAUGUAUCAAAGGACAGAAAAAUGUAUGUUUUGCACAACACAAGCGGAAAGCAAGUGAGAACGGUUAAAACAUAUUUAUUGAAAGGAUGGUUUGUGAUGGAUGUCAGCGAUUUGUCUGUUCUAUAAAUUGUAGUUUUGUAGUGAUUUUCUCUGAAGUAAUAUUGGCUCUUUAUAGUAUUUUGUAAUCCACAUCAGUUGUAAAUUAUGUUUUUUAUUCAAUUGCGGGAGGUGGGGUGAGCAAAUUAUUAAAAAUAAGAUGUAAACUCCAUUGGUAAGUUCUCCCGCAGAAGCUUAAUGGAAAUUAAUGGGAGCUGUACUGGAACAAUACUGUGCGUUCUUGCACAGAUCUCAUUCUUUUGCGUGGGACUUGGACAGGAGAACCUCACCAUGGAUUGUGGCCAAUUUUUUGUUUCACUUUUUGAGUGUGCACAUAUAUCAGUAAAGUGAAGGACUUCUUUGGCCCUAGCUUGCACUGACACAAUAACUGUCCUAGGAAGACAACAUAAAUAGUUUUUUAAUGGCAGUUGCAUCUAUUUUGAAAAUCUAGUCACAGAGCAAUAUAAAGAGAUACUGGCACAUGAGCAUGGCCCAACAAGGUUGAGUUUCAUGAGCAAAGUAUUAUUAUUAUUAUUAUUAUUAUUAGUUGUUGUUGUUGUUGUUGUAGUAGUAGUAGUAUACCACCAUUCAAAGAUCUCAGGGUGGUUCACAACAAAGUUAGAAUUAUGUUGCUAAUAAUUGUUGCUUUUAGUGCUUCCCAAAGCUAUUCAAGUGAAUCUUGAGCACGCUUACUAGGGGAUAAGUCCCACUGAGCUCAGUGGGUCUUACAUCUGACAUGCUUAGGAUUGUAUUAUGCAUGGUUUCACUUUCCAUUUCCAUUCCACAAAAUUGAAUUCCCUGUCACACUAUGCGUGAUGGCCAUUAGCAUACAUGGUUUUAAAAGUGGAUUAGACAGAUUUGUGGAGGAUAAGUCCAUCAAGAUGACCCAUGAUCUGAAUGCAUGUACAGAGCAUCUGGCUGGCUAAUGCUCAGAAUGGAAUUUUAGACUAGAUGGACCUUGAUCUUAUACAGCAGAUCAGUUCUUAUGUUCUCAAAAUAGAAAGCAGGUUUUGCUGGAUUGUUUCCACCAGUACUGAAAAAUACUGGAUGCCUGAAAGCUAUUUCAUAUUUUCCAGGGAUGGGGAACCUGAAGAACUCAAGCUGUUAUUGGACAACAACUUCCAUUGUCCCUGACCAUUGGCAAUGCUGGUUGGGACUUACAGUAGUUGGCAUCCAAUAAUACUUGGAGGGCCACGCUCCUCUUCCCUGAUCUAUUUUGUGCUGGAGCUCCAUUGAGGCAGAGGUAUUUAAAGGCACAUGUAUGGAGAAGAAUUCUCAGACAUAACACUCCUCUUGCAAGCUCCCCUCCUUCGAAAUUCUUCUUGGCACUUUGAGGUGAGUGCUCAAAAGGCCUCAAGGGCGCACUGAGGUCCCUGGAGCCCCGCCCCCUCAAGGAGAGCCCUCUCACAGAUGCAGCGGGCUCUGAGUUGCACCAGGUUUCUAAAUAUAGGGUGGAAUUCCUCUCAAAAUUCAGUCCUAACAGGGUGGAGAGGAUAAGCACUUUGGAAAUAUAUACUCUUGCUUUUGUGGCCAGACAAACCCACCAGGCCUGCACAUCAAGCCAACACAUGUUUUUGCAGUCCCAGGCAGCCAGCCAAAACAAACACAUUUUAUAAAGCCCCUGGUGGGACAUGUUCGCCUUCAUGGAUUACAAGUUGUACAGGCCUAGUUUUAUGAAUGCACUUCUUAACCUCUUUGUUACAUUGUAAAAAUAGUUAAAUGAAAAUGCUACAUUUAAAAGCUAUUUAAAUGGUGAAUACUUGUGCCCUGAUAUGGUUUGGACCUUGCUUUGAGGCUUCCAGAAGCACAGCAAUAAAUACGACUGAUGUAAGCAUCUCUGAAACCAAGCAACUCUUAUUAUGUUAGCUUUUUACAGAUCAAUGGAUGACUCGGUGUUGGUUUCAUGCUAUCAGGAAUAUUGUAGAUGAAAUAAAGUGUAAACAUGACAGUGCACUUAGAAUGUAAGAUAGUUAGUUAACUGUUAACUUAUUAACAGCUGGGACUUCCUAGCUGAAGUAAAUCAGAGGUUUGUAAUAAUAAACAUUUUAUUCAUUAUACCCUUUCCUUUAAAAAAAGUUUUGAAAUGUUCCACUGUUAGAGGCACACAUAAAUAUUUAAUAUUUUUUAAAAAUAAGUUGAAAUAAUUUUGUCAUACUUAGACUAGUAUUUAUGAGUUCUGGGGCUUCUUUUGUAUGUUUCUUUUUAAAGUUUGUUGUAGAGUGUUUCUAGUCUGCGUUGCUGUACAUCCACUUGCUUGUGAAAUUAAAAAGAAAAAAACCUAAGAAAUGAGAGCAUGCAUUUUUCUGUUUGCUGACAACAUUAAGUCAAAAGUUUGUACCUGUGUUUUAAAAAGUCUUAUAACUUUAAACAAUGACAGCAUUACUGUAUCUGAACAUACAAAAGAAAUAUGAAUUGCUUUCAGUGUCCUGU